CACGUCAGCGCGCUUUGCUGAAGUGGCAACAAAUCGCGUCCACGAUGGGGCAAUUUGUUGCCACGUCAGCAAAGCGCGCUGACGUGG
rfam:Gossypium raimondii Chr11_contig_250, whole genome shotgun sequence.